AUUUGCGUUUGGCAAAAGUUCAAUUUUAAACUUUGUCUGAAGUACUUUAUUCCUAUUGAAGAUAUUAACUACAGCUUACAGGCGUCAGAUAAUAAAGAUCCUCACAAGUUUUUCCGAGAUCGUCUACACAAUGAACAAAUACGCUUCUCUGGAACAAGCUCGACGAAAUUAUCCGAAAGUACUUUAGGAAAAACAUACAAAAGCUCGAGAUUUUCUGUCAACCCGAUUGCAGAACAGUUUCUGUAUUGAGUAGUCCGCCAGCCAGUUGUCCCAAAGCAUUUAAAACUGUUCCAAGGAAUCUGCGUUUUAAAUUAUGUGGGCCUACACCUUGUGCAUCUCUAGUAGCAACAGUCGCUUCCUUCGCAUCAUCAGCAGCUGUUACCUGAAGCAGGCUCAAGCAGACUGCAAAAACCGCGUUUAGUAAACUCGAAUUUAGUAAAUGUAAACGAAAAAGCAAAGAAAAUUAUUUAUUCCAUCCGUAUUUAUUUAUAUUAUAAUAUGCCAUUGUUACGACUAAAAAUUGAACAAAUUAAAAUUCUAAUAAGCUUGUGGAUCGUGGCCUGGAUAAUUGAAAUAUAU